UGGGGAAUUUUGGACAAUGGGCGAAAGCCUGAUCCAGCAAUGCCGCGUGCAGGAUGAAGGCCCUCGGGUUGUAAACUGCUUUUGUACGGAACGAAAAGCCUGGGGCUAAUAUCCUCGGGUCAUGACGGUACCGUAAGAAUAAGCACCGGCUAACUACAUG
rnacentral:rRNA from 1 species